rnacentral:rRNA from 1 species
GACGAACGCUGGCGGCGUGCCUAACACAUGCAAGUCGAACGGUUCAGUGUUCAGUCAUCAGUUUAACUGACGACCGACAUCUGAGCAGUGGCGGACGGGUGAGUAACGCGUGAACAACCUACCCUUAAGCCCGGGAUAACUUCGGGAAACCGGAGCUAAUACCGGAUGAACUUAAUCUGAGGCAUCUUAGAUUAAAGAAAGGAGUAUAAAACUCCGUUUAAGGAUGGGUUCGCGUCCCAUUAGCUAGUUGGUGAGAUAACAGCUCACCAAGGCGACGAUGGGUAGCCGGCCUGAGAGGGUGAACGGCCACACUGGGACUGAGAACGGCCCAGACUCCUACGGGAGGCAGCAGUGGGGAAUAUUGCGCAAUGGGGGAACCCUGACGCAGCAACGCCGCGUGAGCGAAGAAGGCCUUCGGGUCGUAAAGCUCUGUCAUGAGGGAAGAAGUCUCUCGUUUAUAGGGAGGUGACGGUACCUCAAGAGGAAGCCCGGCUAACUACGUGCCAGCAGCCGCGGU